rnacentral:rRNA from 1 species
UACAGGGGGUGCAAGCGUUGUUCGGAAUUACUGGGCGUAAAGCGCGGGCAGGUGGCCCUUUAAGUCCUUUGUGAAAUCCCGGAGCUCAACUCCGGAUGUGCAUAGGAUACUGGAGGGCUUGAGACUGGUAGAGGCGAGCGGAAUUCCUGGUGUAGCGGUGAAAUGCGCAGAUAUCAGGAAGAACACCUAUGGCGAAGGCAGCUCUCUGGGACGGUACUGACGCUGAGACGCGAAAGCGUGGGGAGCGAACAGG